AAUUAUUAAUUAAAAUUUGUAAAAGGAAAAAAAUAAUUUUUUUUCUCUUUUUCGUCUUCCAUCUCUCCAUUGUAGUGCACAUCCAUGGCUAAACCGAAGGCUCCCAGACGAACCCUAGAGUCAUACACAGUCAAACACAUCAACAAAACUGUUAGAGCCGGCGACUGCGUUCUUAUGCGGCCCUCCGAGCCGUCGAAGCCGUCCUAUGUGGCUAGGAUCGAGCGGAUCGAGGCCGACUCUCGAGGUGCCAACGUUAAAGUUCAUGUCCGUUGGUACUAUCGGCCAGAGGAGUCUAUCGGUGGCCGUCGCCAGUUCCACGGUUCUAAGGAGGUUUUCCUCUCUGAUCACUUUGAUGUUCAGAGCGCCGACACGAUCGAAGGCAAGUGUACGGUUCACAGUUUUAAGGGCUACACGAAGCUCGAUGCUGUGGGAAAUGACGAUUUCUUCUGUCGUUUCGAAUAUAAUUCCGCCACCGGAGCAUUCAAUCCUGAUAGAGUCGCCGUGUAUUGUAAAUGUGAGAUGCCCUACAACCCUGAUGACCUAAUGGUCCAGUGUGAAGGCUGUAGUGAUUGCAAAAUAUUUUUGAUCCAGGUUUCAUCCUGCUUGUAUAGACAUGACUGUGGAGGAAGCCAAAAGACUUGACCACUUCUUCUGCGAGAGUUGUUCUGCGGAAAAUCAAAAUAAGUUGCCAAAUUCCCAUCCUGCGAGACAUUCAGAUACAAAGGUGGAUUCAAAACGCCGUCGAAGGUGAUAGUACAUAAGAAGGGAUAGAAUGAGAUAGAUCAACGAUGGGGAAGUGGGAGACCUUGCGUUUCAGAUCCUGGGUAGGUACCAAACAAACACGGAGGCAAUAUUUUCUGCAGUAAUCUGUAACUUUUCUACUGACAGAAGGACCGGUUUGGAAAUAUGUUUGUCGUGUCUGUUUGGUUUUAAGACUUAUCCUGUUCACUUUGGAAGUAGAGGAUGUUUGCUUGUUUGUAAUUAUGUAUUGUAGAUUCCUUCUCCUCUCUUCCCGUCCUUGUUCAUACUAGGACUGCUGUAAAGUUUCUUGACUUAUUUAUGAGCAGUGCAGGACUUUUAUUUUUC